rnacentral:sRNA from 1 species
AGUGACUCACAGACGGAGCGGCGUUUUUGGUCGACACAAAGUCAACACUUCGAUAAAUAUAG